rnacentral:rRNA from 1 species
UAUUAGAGGCAUUGCCUGCCCAGUGACUAAAGUUAAACGGCCGCGGUAUCCUGACCGUGCAAAGGUAGCAUAAUCACUUGUUCCUUAAUUAGGGACUAGUAUGAAUGGCUAAACGAGGGUUCAACUGUCUCUUAUUUUUAAUCAGUGAAAUUGACCUUUCAGUGAAGAGGCUGAAAUACUUUAAUAAGACGAGAAGACCCUAUGGAGCUUAAAUUAUAUAACUUAACUAUUAAAAAUACAAAUCUAAAGAUCCAAAAAAUUUAGAUAUAAGUUAAAAAUUUCGGUUGGGGUGACCUCGGAGCAUAAAAAAUCCUCCGAAUGAUUAUAACAUAGACCAACAAGUCAAAGUGAUAAUUACAUAUCUUAUUGACCCAAAAAUAUAUUGAUCAACGGACCAAGUUACCCUAGGGAUAACAGCGCAAUCCUAUUUAAGAGUUCAUAUCGACAAUUAGGGUUUACGACCUCGAUGUUGGAUCAGGACAUCCCAAUGGUGUAGAAGCUAUUAAUGGUUCGUUUGUUCAACGAUUAAAGUCCUACGUGAUCUGAGU